rnacentral:lncRNA from 1 species
UUGCUUUAUACAUAUAUACACAGAUAUAUAAUCUUUAACUGUUUUCCGUUAUUUAUAUGUACACUAGCAUGCAAUCUAUAGCAUAUUGUAAUUAUCUUAAAGGUUAGAAUCAGUAAUGGAUGAUGGAUUGUUUCCUUCUAAUUGUUUUUUGAACUGAAAAGAGAAGAAGAAAAGAGAAAAAAUGAAGUAGUUAUGAAGAGCAAAAAUAAAGCAACUCUGAAGAGGAAAAAGGAAGCAAUUCUGAACAGGAAGAAUGAGCAGCUUUGAAGAAGAAAAAUGAAGUAGCUCUGAAGAGGGAAAAUGAAGCAUCUCUGAAGAA